CUACGCACUCCUACGGGAGGCAGCAGUGGGGAAUAUUGCACAAUGGGCGCAAGCCUGAUGCAGCCAUGCCGCGUGUAUGAAGAAGGACCUUCGGGUUGUAAAGUACUUUCAGCAGUGAGGAAGGUGGAUAUGUUAAUAGCAUAUUCAUUUGACGUUAGCUGCAGAAGAAGCACCGGCUAAACUCCGUGCCAGCAGCCGCGGUAAUACGGAGGGUGCGAGCGUUAAUCGGAAUUACUGGGCGUAAAGCGCAUGCAGGUGGUUUGUUAAGUCAGAUGUGAAAGCCCGGGGCUCAACCUCGGAAUUGCAUUUGAAACUGGCAAACUAGAGUACUGUAGAGGGGGUAGAAUUUCAGGUGUAGCGGUGAAAUGCGUAGAGAUCUGAAGGAAUACCGGUGGCGAAGGCGGCCCCCUGGACAGAUACUGACACUCAGAUGCGAAAGCGUGGGGAGCAAACAGGAUUAGAUACCCUGGUAG
rnacentral:rRNA from 1 species